GAUGAACGCUGGCGGUAUGCUUAACACAUGCAAGUCGAACGGACUCUUCGGAUUUAGUGUCGUACGGGUGAGUAACGCGUGAGAAUCUGUCUUUGGGUUCGGGUCAACCACUGGAAACGGUGGCUAAUACCGGAUUUGCCGCGAGUUAAAAGAGAAAUUGCCUGAAGAUGAGCUCGCGUCUGAUUAGCUAGUUGGUGAGGUAAAGGCUCACCAAGGCAGCGAUCAGUAGCUGGUCUGAGAGGAUGACCAGCCACACUGGGACUGAGACACGGCCCAGACUACUACGGGAGGCAGCAGUGGGGAAUGUUCCGAAAUGGGCGAAAGCCUGACGGAGCAAUACCGCGUGAGGGAAGAAGGCUCUUGGGUUGUAAACCUCUUUUCUUAGGGAAGAACAAAAUGACGGUACCUAAGGAAUCAGCAUCGGCUAACUCCGUG
rnacentral:rRNA from 1 species